UUACAGGAAUGAUACUAAGAAUCAUCCAGAACCGGAUUUUGAUUGUUAUCUUGGCACUCAUCAUCAUCUUUGCAGUCCUGAUGGUUAUUUUUUUUUCUGUCAGGGGACAUUGAUACCUUUGUUCUUUGCUAACCAGCAGCAAACAGCUUCAGAGUCAUGAAGACAAAGUGGUCACAUGAAUCAUUCUCUUGCACUGAAAUGGCUCUCCUUCUCAAAGCCCACAGUCCAUCACUGGGGCAAAUAGGAGAAGUGUAUGUGUCAUUCUUGGCUGCAUGUUCAUUAAAUAUUUGUCUUUUGUUAAGAGAUAUUUCAAAAUAGGAAUGUCCAUAUUUAGCAUAUGGAAUGGCAAACAUAAUUAUCAGAUAUAAAGACUGCAAUCAUAAUUAAGAUACUAAAUUUAAGGGCAGAUUAUUAACACUGAUAAUGGUAACAGUUGAAACGUGAUUUGUACUGAAUUGGUACUUAAAUCUUUAUCAGAACCCCCUUUUAGGAUCCUGGAAAUAGAGGCAAAAAUAUUUCAAAUAUAUCCUUUGACAUUCUCCUAACUCUCCUUAAUAUAACCCAAAAAGCAAAGUGACAGUUUCUAAUAAAUAUAAAACUUUUUUGAAAGUAUGGUUUAAUGUCCACUGUGAAUUUAAUAUUCUAAGAUUUAUUCUAACAACCACUUUUCUUACCUUGUAUAUAUUCUCACCCGCCCCAUGUUCUGAAUUGUCAACUAAGUUUAUUUUGCAGUUUUGCCCUAUGACCAUGUAUUACAGUUAGUUUUGCUCUGUAUUAUUGUGAUUUUAAUGUAUAUGGAGUUCAAAUCAAGAAGAUACUGUUUAAUAAAUGCAAGGAGACCACUUCAUGUCAUUUCUGGAUCUAAAUGUGACAAAAUAAUGGCAUUUAAAAUCUGCAGAAUUGUGCUAGAAUCAAUAUGAUGGUAUUGUGGUUGAAUGAAUAUUCUGAAUGAAUUGUAUCCAAAGGUAAUGUUCAUUUGUUUAAAAAAAUAUGGUCUUAAGUUAAUGUUCUUGGAUAAAAUCUGUUCACAUCAGGCUGGUAAAAUCCUUCUGCGAUCCUUCUAAGAUUUCACUUAUCUCCCUUUUAGCCCUGUCUUGACAGUGAUUUUGCCCUCUCAUCUCUAACCCAGUUUAUAUAAUCUGUAUUUGGACACUGUAAGUCAAGCUGCAACCAAGCCCUCAUCCUUGUACCCUUUGUACAGCCAAGGCAGGUUUACUGUCUAGUCUAUAUGCUAUACAGGAAUAUUGUCCAAUCUGGUCCCUUAGUAUAAGUGUCAAUAGGAUGACCUGAAAACAUUUAUUUGAACACCCAUAUUGUUUGAACACUCCUAUUACUUUAUAUAGUAUUAUGUGAAAGGUUUUUUUAAUGUUUGUGCCCCUUUAAUAUGCAAUAUAUGAAGUGAUGGAUAACAGUACAAUCUCACACAUAUUCACACUGUCCACUGGGCAUAACUGGCAAUAAAAUCCAAAGUUAAAAUUGAAUUUGAUAUGAUUUUCCUCCCUCAUCCCUGUGACCCAAAUAAGCAAUUUCUUCCACUGCCCCCUUUUUCCCAUAUGGAGUCUGUACAGGGCUUAGUGACCUAAAGGGCUUAUAGAUGGCUUUGAAGUAGGAUAAUUGUCAAGCCCAACAGCUGUGAACAUAUAGUGUAGCAUCCAUACUUACUAGGGAAUAUACUUUAUAUGGUUCCCAAUUUCCCUGAAUUUGGGGAACUAUGGAAACUAUGUUUCCCAGUGUUCCUUGAAUUCCUUGGAGGUUGUUCUAUAUGGUUGCAGCAGCUUCUAAAACCCUAUUGUACUACUCACAAUCAGCUAAGGAGAGACAAUAGAGAAAGAAAAGGCUGUAGGACUGUAUUUGGAAGGACUAUAUUCUAGCCCUUCUCAGUAUAUAAUCCCUGUUUGAUCAAUUUUUCAAGCGCUAAUACCACUAUUUUGCCACUUCUCAUUGUAAAAUAGGUUUGGCUAAAAUCCCUUUAUAUUCUGGUGCUCAUUAGGAAAGGGUGCCACACUUACCUAAUAAUAAUCAUGCUUAGAAUUAUUCAUUUACCUGGGUAGGCAAGCAGGACGUUUUCAUGAUAACUUUUAAAAUUCACUAUUUUCUUGCAAAGAUUUUGAAUUGUUAUGGAACAAACUAAACCAUAAAAUAUUAGAGGGACACAAAAGAUUGGCAAUCACCUGAAGGUCAUAAGAAUCUAAUAGCUUUAUUCUACCUAGCAUUUUAAAGAACACAUCCACAAUAUCCCUAUUCAAACACUCUGGAAUAGAAUUUGGCCCUAAACAUGUUUACUAUACCCAGACACAAAGAACUAAAUGAAUGUUAUGUUGAUGUAGCUGACUCAAAUAAAACUUGUAUAGCUUAGUGAAGAAAUUCAAGAUGAAGAGAUUCACAAGAGAAAUGUUAUUUAUGGAAAAAGGUUAGGGCAUGUAUGUCUUCAGAUAAAUCAUUUAAGUUGUGUACACAGAACUAUAGCUUUUACCUUCUUAAUAAUAGGGGAGGGCUGAGUUUGUGGGAUCUGGGCAAAUGGGGAUGAAGAAGAUGCUUUCCAGUGUUAAAAGUAUGUAUCAAAGCAGGUCAGAAGAUGUACAUUUUCACAAAUCCUUUGUUCUGAAAACAGCUACUGUAAAUAUAAAGUUCAAAGAAAAUAUAUUAAAUUCUGUUUAU